rnacentral:rRNA from 1 species
GGUUAAGUUAGAAAGGGCGCACGGUGGAUGCCUUGACACUAGGAGUCGAUGAAGGACGGGACUAACGCCGAUAUGCUUCGGGGAGCUGUAAGUAAGCUUUGAUCCGAAGAUUUCCGAAUGGGGAAACCCACCAUACGUAAUGGUAUGGUAUCCUUAUCUGAAUACAUAGGGUAAGGAAGACAGACCCAGGGAACUGAAACAUCUAAGUACCUGGAGGAAGAGAAAGCAAAUGCGAUUUCCUGAGUAGCGGCGAGCGAAACGGAACAUAGCCCAAACCAAGAGGCUUGCCUCUUGGGGUUGUAGGACAUUCUAUACGGAGUUACAAAGGAACGAGGUAGACGAAGCGACCUGGAAAGGUCCGUCGUAGAGGGUAACAACCCCGUAGUCGAAACUUCGUUCUCUCUUGAAUGUAUCCUGAGUACGGCGGAACACGUGAAAUUCCGUCGGAAUCUGGGAGGACCAUCUCCCAAGGCUAAAUACUCCCUAGUGAUCGAUAGUGAAACCAGUACCGUGAGGGAAAGGUGAAAAGCACCCCGGAAGGGGAGUGAAAGAGAUCCUGAAACCGUGUGCCUACAAAUAGUCAGAGCCCGUUAACGGGUGAUGGCGUGCCUUUUGUAGAAUGAACCGGCGAGUUACGAUCCCGUGCGAGGUUAAGCUGAAGAGGCGGAGCCGCAGCGAAAGCGAGUCUGAAUAGGGCGUUUAGUACGUGGUCGUAGACCCGAAACCAGGUGAUCUACCCAUGUCCAGGGUGAAGUUCAGGUAACACUGAAUGGAGGCCCGAACCCACGCACGUUGAAAAGUGCGGGGAUGAGGUGUGGGUAGCGGAGAAAUUCCAAUCGAACCUGGAGAUAGCUGGUUCUCCCCGAAAUAGCUUUAGGGCUAGCCUUAAGUGUAAGAGUCUUGGAGGUAGAGCACUGAUUGGACUAGGGGUCCUCAUCGGAUUACCGAAUUCAGUCAAACUCCGAAUGCCAAUGACUUAUCCUUAGGAGUCAGACUGCGAGUGAUAAGAUCCGUAGUCAAAAGGGAAACAGCCCAGACCGCCAGCUAAGGUCCCAAAGUGUGUAUUAAGUGGAAAAGGAUGUGGAGUUGCUUAGACAACUAGGAUGUUGGCUUAGAAGCAGCCACCAUUUAAAGAGUGCGUAAUAGCUCACUAGUCGAGUGACUCUGCGCCGAAAAUGUACCGGGGCUAAAUACACCACCGAAGCUGCGGAUUGAUACCAAUGGUAUCAGUGGUAGGGGAGCGUUCUAAGGACAGUGAAGUCAGACCGUAAGGACUGGUGGAGUGCUUAGAAGUGAGAAUGCCGGUAUGAGUAGCGAAAGACGGGUGAGAAUCCCGUCCACCGAAUGCCUAAGGUUUCCUGAGGAAGGCUCGUCCGCUCAGGGUUAGUCAGGACCUAAGCCGAGGCCGACAGGCGUAGGCGAUGGACAACAGGUUGAUAUUCCUGUACCACCUCUUUAUCGUUUGAGCAAUGGAGGGACGCAGAAGGAUAGAAGAAGCGUGCGAUUGGUUGUGCACGUCCAAGCAGUUAGGCUGAUAAGUAGGCAAAUCCGCUUAUCGUGAAGGCUGAGCUGUGAUGGGGAAGCUCCUUAUGGAGCGAAGUCUUUGAUUCCCCGCUGCCAAGAAAAGCUUCUAGCGAGAUAAAAGGUGCCUGUACCGCAAACCGACACAGGUAGGCGAGGAGAGAAUCCUAAGGUGUGCGAGAGAACUCUGGUUAAGGAACUCGGCAAAAUGACCCCGUAACUUCGGGAGAAGGGGUGCUUUCUUAACGGAAAGCCGCAGUGAAUAGGCCCAAGCGACUGUUUAGCAAAAACACAGCUCUCUGCGAAGCCGUAAGGCGAAGUAUAGGGGGUGACACCUGCCCGGUGCUGGAAGGUUAAGGAGAGGGGUUAGCGUAAGCGAAGCUCUGAACUGAAGCCCCAGUAAACGGCGGCCGUAACUAUAACGGUCCUAAGGUAGCGAAAUUCCUUGUCGGGUAAGUUCCGACCCGCACGAAAGGUGUAACGAUUUGGGCACUGUCUCAACCAGAGACUCGGUGAAAUUAUAGUACCUGUGAAGAUGCAGGUUACCCGCGACAGGACGGAAAGACCCCGUGGAGCUUUACUGUAGCCUGAUAUUGAAUUUUGGUACAGUUUGUACAGGAUAGGCGGGAGCCAUUGAAACCGGAGCGCUAGCUUCGGUGGAGGCGCUGGUGGGAUACCGCCCUGACUGUAUUGAAAUUCUAACCUACGGGUCUUAUCGACCCGGGAGACAGUGUCAGGUGGGCAGUUUGACUGGGGCGGUCGCCUCCUAAAGUGUAACGGAGGCGCCCAAAGGUUCCCUCAGAAUGGUUGGAAAUCAUUCGUAGAGUGCAAAGGCAUAAGGGAGCUUGACUGCGAGACCUACAAGUCGAGCAGGGACGAAAGUCGGGCUUAGUGAUCCGGUGGUUCCGCAUGGAAGGGCCAUCGCUCAACGGAUAAAAGCUACCCCGGGGAUAACAGGCUUAUCUCCCCCAAGAGUCCACAUCGACGGGGAGGUUUGGCACCUCGAUGUCGGCUCAUCGCAUCCUGGGGCUGUAGUCGGUCCCAAGGGUUGGGCUGUUCGCCCAUUAAAGCGGUACGCGAGCUGGGUUCAGAACGUCGUGAGACAGUUCGGUCCCUAUCCGUCGUGGGCGUAGGAAAUUUGAGAGGAGCUGUCCUUAGUACGAGAGGACCGGGAUGGACGCACCGCUGGUGUACCAGUUGUUCUGCCAAGGGCAUAGCUGGGUAGCUAUGUGCGGAAGGGAUAAGUGCUGAAAGCAUCUAAGCAUGAAGCCCCCCUCAAGAUGAGAUUUCCCAUAGCGUAAGCUAGUAAGAUCCCUGAAAGAUGAUCAGGUUGAUAGGUUCGAGGUGGAAGCAUGGUGACAUGUGGAGCUGACGAAUACUAAUAGAUCGAGGACUUAACCAUAUA